rnacentral:rRNA from 1 species
AAUGAACGCUGGCGGCGUGCUUAACACAUGCAAGUCGGACGAGAAAGCCUUAUUUCGGUAGGGCGAGUAAAGUGGCGCACGGGUGAGUAACGCGUAGGUAACCUACCCUUGAGAUGGGGAUAACAGUUCGAAAGGGCUGCUAAUACCGGAUGUGCCUGGGGAGCGGGAGUUUUCCAGGGAAAGUCAGCCGAUCCAUGGAAGCUGGCACUCAAGGAUGGGCCUGCGUCCUAUCAGCUGGUUGGUAGGGUAACGGCCUACCAAGGCGACGACGGGUAGCUGGUCUGAGAGGAUGAUCAGCCACACUGGCACUGGAACACGGGCCAGACUCCUACGGGAGGCAGCAGUGAGGAAUUUUGCGCAAUGGGAGGAAUCCUGACGCAGCAACGCCGCGUGGGUGAUGAAGGCCUUCGGGUCGUAAAGCCCUGUCGGGUGGGAAGAACACCUCUUUAUUGAACAGGUGGAGAGGGUGACGGUACCACCAGAGGAAGCACCGGCUAACUCCGUGCCAGCCGCCGCGGUAACAC